UACGUAGGGCGCAAGCGUUGUCCGGAAUUAUUGGGCGUAAAGAGCUCGUAGGCGGCCUGUCGCGUCCGCUGUGAAAUCCCGGGGCUUAACCCCGGGCGUGCAUUCGAUACUGUCUGACUCGAGUCUGGGAGAGGGAAGCGGAAUUCCGGGUGUAGCGGUGAAAUGCGUAGAUAUCCGGAGGAACAUCAGUGGCGAAGGCGGCUUCCUGGCCUAAGACUGACGCUGAGGUACGAAAGCGUGGGGAGCAAACAGG
rnacentral:rRNA from 1 species